rnacentral:rRNA from 1 species
UACGUAGGGGGCUAGCGUUGUCCGGAAUCAUUGGGCGUAAAGAGCGCGUAGGCGGCUAGAUAAGUCCGGUGUGAAAGUCACAGGCUCAACCUGUGAAUGCCGCUGGAAACUGUCUGGCUAGAGUCCGGAAGGGGCGAGUGGAAUUCCUGGUGUAGCGGUGAAAUGCGCAGAUAUCAGGAGGAACACCAAUGGCGAAGGCGGCUAACUGGUCCGGUUCUGACGCUGAGGCGCGAAAGCGUGGGGAGCAAACAGG